CUUCUUCCUUUCCAACGGACGGCUUCUAUUUUUUUCUCUUUCCUAAUUUCUCUAGCUAGAACUUCCAGUACAAUGUUGAAUAGAAGUGGUGACAGCGGACAUCUUUGUUUCAUUCCUGAUCAUGGGAGAGAAGAGGAAAGUGGCGAGGAAAAAUGGUGGUUAGCAGGAAAGCAAAGGCUCCACUGGAUUUGGGUCAGCUUGGCAAGCUGCAACAAGCAAACAUCCAUGACAUUUGCCGUUGCGGAUUCACAUCGCCUGUAACCCAUUCCCCACAGCCUUCAGUCCGGGAAGUCAAGUUUAUUGUGGUAGAAGUUUGACCCUGGAAAUCUAAAUAAAUAAACAAAAAGCACUGGAUACACAAAUUUUGAAUUAAAAUGGACUCAUCUGAAGAUUUUCUACAUUGGAGGAAAAGGCAUAUUAUACAGUGAUGCACUGAGUUGUCCAAAGUUCAUUAAUGUCAACUGCUAGCAAGAAAACUACAAGAUCCUAGGGUUUCACAUUUAUUAAAUCUGAUAAGAAUUCAAAAUAUGUCUCAAAUGUUUUCUUAUGAAAU
rnacentral:lncRNA from 10 species